rnacentral:rRNA from 1 species
GGGUUAGUAGGUUGGUCAUGCCUCCGGUAUGUACUGGUCUCACUGAUUCCCCCUUCCUGAUGAGCCGUAAUGCCAUUAAUUUGGUGUUGCGGGGAAUUUGGACUGUUACUUUGAGGAAAUUAGAGUGUUUAAAGCAGGCUAACGCUUGAAUACAUUAGCAUGGAAUAAUGAAAUAGGACGUUUGAUUCUAUUUUGUUGGUUUCUAGGAUCGACGUA